rnacentral:rRNA from 1 species
GUUAGCGGCGGACGGGUGAGUAACACGUGGGUAACCUGCCUGUAAGAUUGGGAUAACUCCGGGAAACCGGAGCUAAUACCGGAUAACAUUUUGAACCGCAUGGUUCAAAAUUGAAAGAUGGUUUCGGCUAUCACUUACAGAUGGACCCGCGGCGCAUUAGCUAGUUGGUGAGGUAACGGCUCACCAAGGCGACGAUGCGUAGCCGACCUGAGAGGGUGAUCGGCCACACUGGGACUGAGACACGGCCCAGACUCCUACGGGAGGCAGCAGUAGGGAAUCUUCCGCAAUGGACGAAAGUCUGACGGAGCAACGCCGCGUGAACGAUGAAGGCCUUCGGGUCGUAAAGUUCUGUUGUUAGGGAAGAACAAGUACCAGAGUAACUGCUGGUACCUUGACGGUACCUAACCAGAAAGCCACGGCUAACUACGUGCCAGCAGCCGCGGUAAUACGUAGGUGGCAAGCGUUGUCCGGAAUUAUUGGGCGUAAAGCGCGCGCAGGCGGUUUCUUAAGUCUGAUGUGAAAGCCCACGGCUCAACCGUGGAGGGUCAUUGGAAACUGGGGAACUUGAGUGCAGAAGAGGAGAGUGGAAUUCCACGUGUAGCGGUGAAAUGCGUAGAGAUGUGGAGGAACACCAGUGGCGAAGGCGACUCUCUGGUCUGUAACUGACGCUGAGGCGCGAAAGCGUGGGGAGCGAACAGGAUUAGAUACCCUGGUAGUCCACGCCGUAAACGAUGAGUGCUAAGUGUUAGAGGGUUUCCGCCCUUUAGUGCUGCAGCA